UACGUAGGGGGCGAGCGUUGUCCGGAAUUAUUGGGCGUAAAGAGCUCGUAGGCGGUUCGUCACGUCGGCUGUGAAAACCUGAGGCUCAACCUCAGGCCUGCAGUCGAUACGGGCGGACUUGAGUACUGCAGGGGAGACUGGAAUUCCUGGUGUAGCGGUGAAAUGCGCAGAUAUCGGGAGGAACACCGGUGGCGAAGGCGGUUCUCUGGGCCUUACCUGACGCUGAGGAGCGAAAGCGUGGGGAGCAAACAGG
rnacentral:rRNA from 1 species